rnacentral:lncRNA from 1 species
AGCUCGAGUCAUAAGGAUAAUGCAUAAUAUGCCUGGAAUUCUUGUAACAUCCCAAAAUUCCAAAACCUUUCGUAUGCAUUGCAUCCAUGAGCUUCAUGCCACAAUUGCAUAUUUGAAUUCAAAUUUGAAUCUCAAAAGACUUUAAAAAGGUUUUUAUUUCAUUUUAAACCCUAGGGUUUCAAUCAUUUGAGCUUUGGAUCUUAAAACCAAUAAGGUUUAUCUAUAAAUGGGGUUUAUUGCAUAAAUAAGCUAUCCCAUAAUUUUUGGAUAUUUAUUUGGAGUUGAAAAACUAUUUUAUUUAUAUAGUUAUAUAGCCCUAAAGGCAUUUAUAGGGAAAAUAUAUUUUUUAUAUAUUUUAUUUUGAAGGGAAACUACUCCCAAAAGUUGAACCAUGAUAAAACAUGAUUUUACAAAUUUUCUAGAAUUUGUUUGGAUCAAUUUGGAGUUCAAAAUCAAAAGAUAUCAAAGAAAUCAGAAAAAGAAAAAAAGAAAAGGCUAAAAGGAAAAGAAAAAAAAAGAGAAGAAACGGACCGGCCCGGCCGAAUUGGGCCGAACCGGCCUCCUCCCCCGCGUGCGCCCGAGCCAGACCGGCCCAGCGCCAGCGCAGCACGCGCCCGAGGCUGACAGGCAGGGCCCUCCUGUCAAAUCCUUCGUCCCAAAGGAAGGCGCCGCGCGUCACGCCGCCAGAUCCGCCCACGCCGUCGCGGCCGCCAUCACCGCGCCCGCCGAUUCCGUGCUUUCCAAAGUUGCCCGAGCACACCCCUAUAAAGUCCAGCCUCCCCUCUCUCUUUCGCCUCUGUUUGCCCGCACUCGCACGCGCCCACGCCGCCGGAGUUACUCGCCGAAGAACACCGCCGCCGCCAUCCUUCGCUUCGGGUCCACACCGCCAGUGAGCCUCCCCGCCCGAGACCUCAAAUUUCUGGACCCCCUCGACC